ACCUUAAUCAGGGUUUGAAUUCGGAGGACCAGCCUGAGGAACGGCUAGUUAGAAUAAGGUUUGCAGCCGGCGCGAAAAUUUCACAAAGGUUGAUUACCAAUAAUUAGCGAUGUAGUGAAGAAAAAUAACGAUGUACUUGCUUUAAAACAAGCUAGUACAAUUGGAAUGAGACGACUAUAAAUGAGUUAGUCGAGUAACAAAUGGAGGGCAAGUCUGGUGCCAGCAGCCGCGGUAAUUCCAGCUCCAUUAGCAUACAUUAAAGUUGUUGCGGUUAAAAAGCUCGUAGUUGAAUUUUAGGCGGGCUCUAUUGGGAUGCAGCCGUAAAGGCGGUUUGGAGUGCAACUAACCCAUUCGUGGUCAAGUGCCCCUUUCUUAGCUGGUUGUCAUUGCCCUGUAGGAACCCGCUGUUUCGUCACUUAAUCGAGUGCGAAGCGGGCUGGAACAAAGUUUUAUCCACUUUCGGGUGCGAUGCUAUGUUACAGCGAGUUUACCUUGAGAAAAUUAGAGUGCUCACAGCAGGCAGUUGGGGUGUAAAAGCUCCUUUAUGCUUGAAUAAUGUUGCAUGGAAUAAUAGAAUACGGCCUCGGUUCUAUUCUGUUGGUCUUAUAGAACAACAAAUAAGUUGAUGUUAGGCAUCAAACGGUCAUGUUGGUGAUGUGGCUGGAUUGUUGGUUACUUGUUGCCUUAGUACCCCUAAGAGCCAUUAGUCUAGCGCCAGUCAUUAAAAGCAUCCAAUGGGAACUGGCCACCAACGCCACUUGAGGCAAGGGUAAAAAAAAAUAGCCCCGCCGCCUUCAUUCCGGCAUCUGGAAAG
rnacentral:rRNA from 1 species